rnacentral:rRNA from 1 species
AGAGUUUGAUCCUGGCUCAGAUUGAACGCUGGCGGCAUGCCUUACACAUGCAAGUCGAACGGUAACAGGGAGCUUGCUCCGCUGACGAGUGGCGAACGGGUGAGUAAUACAUCGGAACGUGUCCUGUAGUGGGGGAUAGCCCGGCGAAAGCCGGAUUAAUACCGCAUACGCUGUACGCAGGAAGGGGGGGAUCUUCGGACCUCUCGCUAUAGGGGCGGCCGAUGGCAGAUUAGCUAGUUGGUGGGGUAAAGGCCUACCAAGGCGACGAUCUGUAGCUGGUCUGAGAGGACGACCAGCCACACUGGGACUGAGACACGGCCCAGACUCCUACGGGAGGCAGCAGUGGGGAAUUUUGGACAAUGGGCGAAAGCCUGAUCCAGCAAUGCCGCGUGUGUGAAGAAGGCCUUCGGGUUGUAAAGCACUUUUGUUCGGGAAGAAAAGGCUCGGGAUAAUACCCUGGGCUGAUGACGGUACCGGAAGAAUAAGCACCGGCUAACUACGUG